UACAGAGGUCUCAAGCGUUGUUCGGAUUCAUUGGGCGUAAAGGGUGCGUAGGUGGCGAGGCAAGUCUGGUGUGAAAUCCCGGGGCUCAACCCCGGAACUGCACUGGAUACUGCCUUGCUUGAGCACUGGAGAGGGAACUGGAAUUUACGGUGUAGCAGUGAAAUGCGUAGAUAUCGUAAGGAAGACCAGUGGCGAAGGCGAGUUCCUGGACAGUUGCUGACACUGAGGCACGAAGGCUAGGGGAGCAAACGGG
rnacentral:rRNA from 1 species